rnacentral:rRNA from 1 species
AUUGAACGCUGGCGGCAGGCCUAACACAUGCAAGUCGAACGGUAACAGGAAGAAGCUUGCUUCUUUGCUGACGAGUGGCGGACGGGUGAGUAAUGUCUGGGAAACUGCCUGAUGGAGGGGGAUAACUACUGGAAACGGUAGCUAAUACCGCAUAACGUCGCAAGACCAAAGAGGGGGACCUUCGGGCCUCUUGCCAUCGGAUGUGCCCAGAUGGGAUUAGCUAGUAGGUGGGGUAACGGCUCACCUAGGCGACGAUCCCUAGCUGGUCUGAGAGGAUGACCAGCAACACGGAAACUGAGACAGGGCCGAGACCCCUACGGGGGGCAGCGGGGGGGAAUAUUGCAGAAGGGCCGCAGGCUUAAUGCAGCCAUCGCGGGUGUAGAAAGAAGGCUUUGGGGUUUUAAAGUCCUUUCAGGGGGGAGGAAGGGAGUAAGUUUAAUACCUUUCCUCAUUGAGGUUCCCCACAAAAGAGGCCCCGACAAACUCCGGG